UGUGAGACCAUGUUAUGGAAAUCUGAACCAACUGUCUUUAUCAGGAAAUGAUGCAGGGAGAACAGUUGACAAGAACAAAAAGAAACUGAAAUGACUUAAGUGAAUCUCCUUGAACAAUGAACACAAAAACUAUGAUAGAACAGCAUGCCUGUUUCAUCCCUGGGUCCCUAAGAUUGCAGGAGUCUUUUAUUUGGAGCUCCCUGGACAGUGAGAUGACCCCAUGUCUCUUCUGAUCCACCAGACCUUCACAGAAAAUGAGGGAGAGCAUCAUGACACAAGAACAGGAUGGAGAAGAACUGCUCUAUUCAUGUCAAACACAAUGAGGAGGAGAGAAGAAACAUGAAAGUCUGACUGAAGAAAAGGACGUGAUAAAGUCAUAUGAUGGUAUUUGAUGGUAAAUUUUCUUAGGGAAUGAAGGAAAACAGCUUGAAACUUCUAUAGACCUACAUGAGACACUUGGUUAAAUUUUAAAAAAAGAUCAUCCACCAUCUUUGUUCCCUUCACCCCCACCAUAUUGAUCUGUUCUUCAUG